rnacentral:rRNA from 1 species
AGAGUUUGAUCCCUGGCUCAGGACGAACGCUGGCGGCGUGCCUAACACAUGCAAGUCGAGCGAGGAACUUCGGUUCCUAGCGGCGGACGGGUGAGUAACACGUGGGUAACCUGCCUUGUAGAGGGGGAUAGCCUUCCGAAAGGAAGAUUAAUACCGCAUAACAUUAUUUUAUCGCAUGAUAGAAUAAUCAAAGGAGCAAUCCGCUACAAGAUGGACCCGCGGCGCAUUAGCUAGUUGGUGAGGUAACGGCUCACCAAGGCGACGAUGCGUAGCCGGCCUGAGAGGGUGAACGGCCACAUUGGAACUGAGACACGGUCCAGACUCCUACGGGAGGCAGCAGUGGGGAAUAUUGCACAAUGGGCGAAAGCCUGAUGCAGCAACGCCGCGUGAGUGAUGAAGGCCUUCGGGUUGUAAAGCUCUGUCUUCUGGGACGAUAAUGACGGUACCAGAGGAGGAAGCCACGGCUAACUACGUGCCAGCAGCCGCGGUAAUACGUAGGUGGCAAGCGUUGUCCGGAUUUACUGGGCGUAAAGGAUGCGUAGGCGGAUAUUUAAGUGAGAUGUGAAAUUCCCGGGCUUAACUUGGGAGCUGCAUUUCAAACUGGGUAUCUAGAGUGUGGGAGAGGAAAGUGGAAUUCCUAGUGUAGCGGUGAAAUGCGUAGAGAUUAGGAAGAACCCCAGUGGCGAAGGCGACUUUCUGGACCAUAACUGACGCUGAGGCAUGAAAGCGUGGGGAGCAAACAGGAUUAGAUACCCUGGUAGUCCACGCCGUANACGAUGAAUACUAGGUGUGGGAGUUGUCAUGACUUCCGUGCCGCAGUUAACACAAUAAGUAUUCCGCCUGGGGANNNCGGUCGCAA